UACGAGGGGGAGCAAGCGUUGUUCGGAUUUACUGGGCGUAAAGGGCGCGUAGGCGGUCGUGACAAGUCACUUGUGAAAUCUCCGGGCUUAACUCGGAACGGUCAAGUGAUACUGUCGGACUAGAGUACAGAAGGGGCAACUGGAAUUCUCGGUGUAGCGGUGAAAUGCGUAGAUAUCGAGAGGAACACCUGCGGCGAAGGCGGGUUGCUGGGCUGAUACUGACGCUGAUGCGCGAAAGCCAGGGGAGCGAACGGG
rnacentral:rRNA from 1 species